ensembl:lncRNA
UGGCAAGAAUAAGGCAGUGGGUUGGCCACAUCCUAUCCUGCAAGAUGGUAGAAUGUACUGAGUCAGAGACAGAUGUCCCCUUACCCCCAAAGAACACGCUUACCACAUCUACAAUGAGACUGUGUUCUCCUUUGCCUCUCCUUUACUGUCGCCCUUGAUCUUGGGCCCAACUCUUCUCCCAUCAUGGAGAAUCACGGAGAAUCCCUGGAAGGAGUGACAUCCUCAAGCUGGGUGUUGCUCAGCUUCUGGCUCAAGGAUGCUGCUGCUUCUUCUUACCUGGCAGUCUUUGCUCUGGAAGGAGACUGGGACCUGGGUGAACUUCACCCAGGAUUUUUCAUAAAAGGAUUCUUGUCCCAAGUUUCCUUCUUCUAGACCACAGGGAGUCUUUUACCUGGCCUGUUAAACCCUCAGAGUUCCAUCUCUCACUAGUUUCUUUCAUCUUCAGCCCCUGGCAGGGCCUUCUAUAGAUGUGACAAAGGUCUUAUGGUUCUGAGAAGCUAUAGAACCCUACUAUCCAGUAAAGUGACAGGAUCCAAAGGUCUGCAGGUUACCCAGGCAACCUGAAGAUACACAGAUCCAUGAUUAGUAUCAUCUGACUGGCCUUCCCAGAUACUACUGGAGCCAGGGGUGGGAGUCUGAAGAGGCUUCUGUAGGAGACACCACUGCUCUGAGUUUGAGCUCACAACUCUGAAUCUUCAAGCAGUAUGAGUUAACACAUUACCGUGACCACCUGGCUUGCUCAUCAUGAUUGUUUCGACAUUAUCAAAUCUAAGGCAACCUACUAAAAAUAAAAAUGGGGCCGGACUCAGAGCAGCACGAAAAAUGGGUCUUCCUGUUCCAUCUGUUGCCCACACUGAAUGCAUAUCUUCAUGGCCAGACUUAAAAAUAGUGAAAACUCUAUUAAAACUUAGGUUAGUGCUUUAACACAGGAAAAAAAAAAAAAAAAAAACCGGUAUCGUAUUUACUACCAAUGGGUUCUCAGGACCCGAUAUAUUCUUCCCUGUAAAAUCAUAGACACUGAGCAUGAGUCGGGUACGCGCAGUAUUAAGUACGCCUCCUGGUGGGAGACUA